GAAAAAAUUUAUCUCCGAGCCUGUUUAACCUUCACCGGCGGCGGUGGUGGUUUGCAGGCCGAUAAGGUGUAAGGGGAAACCCUUAUGCCCCCCAGUGCGGAAAGGAGAUGAGAAAUGCCAGCU
rnacentral:ncRNA from 2 species